rnacentral:rRNA from 1 species
ACUCCUACGGGAGGCAGCAGUGGGGAAUAUUGCGCAAUGGGCGGAAGCCUGACGCAGCGACGCCGCGUGCGGGAUGAAGGCCUUCGGGUUGUAAACCGCUUUCACCAGGGACGAAGCGAGAGUGACGGUACCUGGGGAAGAAGCGCCGGCUAACUACGUGCCAGCAGCCGCGGUAAUACGUAGGGCGCGAGCGUUGUCCGGAAUUAUUGGGCGUAAAGAGCUCGUAGGCGGCUGGUUGCGUCUGCUGUGAAAUCCCGGGGCUUAACCCCGGGCGUGCAGUGGAUACGGGCCGGCUGGAGGCAGGCAGGGGAGAAUGGAAUUCCCGGUGUAGCGGUGAAAUGCGCAGAUAUCGGGAGGAACACCGGUGGCGAAGGCGGUUCUCUGGGCCUGUACUGACGCUGAGGAGCGAAAGCGUGGGGAGCGAACAGGAUUAGAUACCCUGGUAGUCCACGCCGUAAACGUUGGGCGCUAGGUGUGGGUCCCUUCCACGGGGUCUGUGCCGCAGCUAACGCAUUAAGCGCCCCGCCUGGGGAGUACGGCCGCAAGGCUAAAACUCAGAGGAAUUGACGGGGGCCCGCACAAGCGGCGGAGCAUGUUGCUUAAUUCGACGCAACGCGAAGAACCUUACCAAGGUUUGACAUGGCCGGAAAACUCGCAGAGAUGCGGGGUCCUUCGGGGCCGGUCACAGGUGGUGCAUGGCUGUCGUCAGCUCGUGUCGUGAGAUGUUGGGUUAAGUCCCGCAACGAGCGCAACCCUCGUCCCAUGUUGCCAGCAUUCAGUUGGGGACUCAUGGGAGACUGCCGGGGUCAACUCGGA